rnacentral:rRNA from 1 species
GAUGAGCGCUGGCGGCGUGCCUAAUACAUGCAAGUCGAGCGAACGGACGAGAAGCUUGCUUCUCUGAUGUUAGCGGCGGACGGGUGAGUAACACGUGGAUAACCUACCUAUAAGACUGGGAUAACUUCGGGAAACUGGAGCUAAUACCGGAUAAUAUUUUGAACCGCAUGGUUCAAAAGUGAAAGACGGUCUUGCUGUCACUUAUAGAUGGAUCCGCGCUGCAUUAGCUAGUUGGUAAGGUAACGGCUUACCAAGGCAACGAUGCAUAGCCGACCUGAGAGGGUGAUCGGCCACACUGGAACUGAGACACGGUCCAGACUCCUACGGGAGGCAGCAGUAGGGAAUCUUCCGCAAUGGGCGAAAGCCUGACGGAGCAACGCCGCGUGAGUGAUGAAGGUCUUCGGAUCGUAAAACUCUGUUAUUAGGGAAGAACAUAUGUGUAAGUAACUGUGCACAUCUUGACGGUACCUAAUCAGAAAGCCACGGCUAACUACGUG